UUGUUUAUCAAAAACAUUGUCACUUGUAAAUCUUAUAAAUGAUAAAUCCUGCCCAGUGAGAUAUUAAACGGCCGCGGUACCCUGACCGUGCUAAGGUAGCAUAAUCAUUUGCCUAUUAAUUGUAGGCUAGUAUAAAUGGACAAACGAAGUUUCAACUGUUCCCCUUAAGUAAAUAAAAUCUAAUCCCUAAGUGAAGAAGCUUAGAUACCCCCGCAGGACAAGAAGACCCUAUAGAGCUUUACCAAAAAUUUACACAAAAAGUAAAAUACGGUUCGGUUGGGGCGACCCGGGAAACCUAAAACCUCCCUAAUUAUUAAAACUAACCAGUUAACACCCUAAGAUCCUAACCAAAGAUCUCAGAAACCAGCUACCUUAGGGAUAACAGGCUAAUUUUCCUAGAGAGCCCAUAUUAACAGGAAAGAUUGGCACCUCGAUGUUGGCUUAGGGCCUCUUUAUGAUGCAGCAGUCAUAAAUAGAUGGUUUGUUCAACCAUUAAACCCCUACGUGAUCUGAGUUCA
rnacentral:rRNA from 1 species